rnacentral:rRNA from 1 species
CCCUUAGAUGUCCUGGGCUGCACGCGCGCUACACUGACACAUUCAUCGAGUUGACCUGCCUCGCAAGUGCUGGGUAAUCUUAUCAAAAUGUGUCGUGAUGGGGAUAGAUUAUUGCAAUUAUUAAUCUUCAACGAGGAAUUCCUAGUAAGUGCAGUUCAUCAGACUGCGCUGAUUACGUCCCUGCCCAUUGUACACACCGCCCGUCGCUCCUACCGAUUGGGUGAUCCGGUGAAUACUUUGGACUACAUUGCUGAAGCCUGUGCUUCUAGUACUGUAGGAAAUUGCGUGAACCUUAUCACUUAGAGGAAGGAGAAGUCGUAACA